rnacentral:tRNA from 1 species
UCCCUGGUUGUCCAGUGGUUAAGACUCUGUGCUUCCACUGCAGGGGGGCAUAGGUUCAAACCCUGAUUGGGGAA